rnacentral:rRNA from 1 species
UACGGGGGGGGCAAGCGUUGUUCGGAAUUACUGGGCGUAAAGGGCUCGUAGGCGGCCAACUAAGUCGGGCGUGAAAUCCCUCGGCCUAACCGGGGAACUGCGUCCGAUACUGGAUGGCUUGAGUUCGGGAGAGGGAUGCGGAACUCCAGGUGUAGCGGUGAAAUGCGUAGAUAUCUGGAGGAACACCGGUGGCGAAGGCGGCAUCCUGGACCGACACUGACGCUGAGGAGCGAAAGCCAGGGGAGCAAACGGG